UUAAAUUCUGGUGGGAAAUGAUAAACAAUACUAGUCAUUGUUCACCUGUAUUUCUACCACUACUACCUUUUUGUUGUGUCAGAGAUAAAUUUGAUUUACAAAUACUUAUUACAGUAUAAUUCCAGCCAACUUAUAGCAUGAAACUCAAAAUAUCGAGGAAUUUUGCAUAAUAUUCAAGUUCAGCUGAUACUUGUUUUUGGCUUUGUUUAUAUAUAUACAUGUGCAAUAAAAACAUUUAAUAUAUUUAGCUAGUUAAAGAAAACAUAUAAUAUUGUAUUUAUUGCAAACUGAUUCAGGAAAUUCUCAGGGGCUGGUUGUUCAACUUGUCAUUAAAUCUAAUACUGUUGUUAGAAUAUGCUAAUGCAUCGUUAACAUUUAUUGCAUGGUUGAACCUGUUGCUCAUAUCUCUAUAUUAAAGGUAGAUAUACAUAUCAACAUUUUGGUUGUUACAUGACUUUCUUAAUGAUGUUUGUGUUAAAUACACAUGAAAUUUUAUAUCUGACAGAAAUUUAAUGAGUUACUGGGUAAGCUCAUUUUGUUGAUACAAAUUAUAUUAACAUGAAAGCAGAGAUUCAGUUUUAGUAGUUUACUAAGAGCAGAGAUUCAGUUUUAGUAGUUUACUAAGAGCAGAGAUUCAGUUUUAGUAGUUUACUAAGAGCAGAGAUUCAGUUUUAGUAGUUUACUAAGAGUUAUUAAGGUUAGUAUUUCCCUAAAACAUAUAGGUACUUUAAAAACUGUCACUUAAGGCAAGCACAUGUGGGUACUUAACGGUAUGUCACUUAAGAAAAGUCCAUGUAGGUACUUAACAGUAUGUCACUAAAGAAAAGCCUCAUAGGUUCUUAAAAGUAUGUCACUUAGGACAAGCACAUGUGGGUACUUUGCAGAAUGUCACUUAUGAUUAUAUAGAUCAUUUUUCAGUUACAUUAUUAUGAAUGCAAACUCUUUACAGGUAACAAUUAUAUUUAUUGUUAUUGUCACAAUAUUUGUGUGGUAUUUCAAUGAUUCUUACAACUUUAGUUAUACAACAGCUCCUGUAUGCAGAGAUCACAUUUUUGUAUCCUAUAUGAUUGAUAAAGAAUAAAUAGUUUAUUUUUUCAUCUUGUAAUGGUUCUCUAAAAACAGUCACUAUUAUUAUAUUAGAAA
rnacentral:lncRNA from 1 species